rnacentral:rRNA from 1 species
ANUUGGNAAUCACUGGGCGUAAAGCGCGCGCAGGCGGCUAUUUAAGNNGNAUGUGAAAGNNUACGGCUCAACCGUAGAACUGCAUCCAAAACUAUUNAGCUAGAGUGUGGGAGAGGAAGAUGGANUUAGUUGUGUAGGGGUAAAAUCCGUAGAGAUAACUAGGAAUACCAAAAGCGAAGGCAAUNUUCUGGAACACUACUGACGCUGAGGCGCGAAAGCGUGGGGAGCAAACAGGAUUAGAUACCCUGGUAGUCCACGCAGUAAACGAUGAAUGUUAGUCGUCGGGGGCCUAGUGUCUUCGGUGAUGCAGCUAACGCAUUAAACAUUCCGCCUGGGGAGUACGGUCGCAAGAUCAAAACUCAAAGGAAUAGACGGGGACCCGCACAAGUGGUGGAGCAUGUGGUUUAAUUCGAAGAUACGCGAAGAACCUUACCUAGCCUUGACAUAUUUUAGAAUUCUUUAGAGAUAGAGAAGUGCCUUCGGGAGCUAAUUUACAGGUGCUGCACGGCUGUCGUCAGCUCGUGUCGUGAGAUGUUGGGUUAAGUCCCGCAACGAGCGCAACCCUCGUCACUAGUUACUAACGGUUCGGCCGAGGACUCUAGUGAGACUGCCUUCGUAAGGAGGAGGAAGGUGAGGACGACGUCAAGUCAUCAUGGCCCUUACGGCUAGGGCAACACACGUGCUACAAUGGCCAGGACAGUGAGACGCAAUACCGCGAGGUGGAGCAAAUCUAUAAACCUGGUCUCAGUUCGGAUUGUUCUCUGCAACUCGAGAACAUGAAGCUGGAAUCACUAGUAAUCGUAGAUCAGCUAUGCUACGGUGAAUACGUUCCCGGGUCUUGCACUCACCGCCCG